AUGGAACGGUGGAGAUUGGAGAAGAUGUACUUGCUGGAACGGUGUAUGGUGCUGUUGCUGCCUUGCUGGAAGCCUGGAACGGUAGAGAAGAUGCGGACUGCAGUUGUAUGUUGCUGCCUUGCUGGAACUAGAACGGUGGAAGAAGGGCGCACAAAAAUUAGGGCAGAAGAAGAAAGUGAGAAAGCCAAACCGCUCCGCCCGGGAGGCGCCCGCUAUCCGCGACCCGGGAUAGCGGCGAUAGCGCCCUCUAUCUUCUCUUCGCCACCGCACCCUUGUGCGCGCGCGGCAGGCCUCCGCUCCGCUCUGGAGCGCCGCUAUAGCGGCCGCUACGGGCGCUAUUAA